UUUUUUUUGGGGGGGGGGGGUACCAAAUUACUUCAUUUGAAGUAAUGGUACAAAUGAAAGACAUGAAUGGAUGAUUUGGUACAAGUUAUAGAGAAGGUAAAGGUCACGCCAACAUGCAGAGUGG